UACCAUAUUGUUGCAGGAGUCCAGUUAAAACAUGACAGUCUCUGUAACAGAAGUGUCAACCUGAAUUAAUGGAAGCAUCAACGUAGAGCUGAUGUGUUCCAUAUACUGGGAGUGAACAGGAUUCUUAGAAGAUGUUCUGGUAGAAUAUUUGUGUACUUAAACAUAUUUUUCCUAUGUGUUUCUUCAGAUUCUUAUCAAGAAAACCCAAUGAACCUAAUAAUAUUCACUGAUGGAACCUUGCUCUUAACCUGGUCCAUGUCAAUACCUCAUCAUGAAUGAUGAGUUCGCCUACAAAUGAUAAGUUCACAUGGGACAUUGCUGUUACCAAGGUAAGGUUCUUGUCAAGAUACCAUGAUGAACCAGAAGUCAUUAACAGGGGGACAUCUCUGGUAUUCAGCUAAGUGAGGACAUGCACAUCCCAGACCAUCUGAUGUUUAUAUAUCUGAGUGAAUGAUAUUGGAUUGCCUAAACUUGUUUACCAUGUGAGUUAUACCAGCAGGGGUUCAGGUGAGCAAGCAAACAUAGUGUUUUGCUAAUUCUAACAACCAUGUUAUUCUGCUGUCAUAUUGUACAGAAGAUAUAUGUUUAACUGUUUGAGUAUAGAGUAAUUUGCAUUUAUUCAAGUAAUUCUUGGAUUUCCACCUCACAGUUGUAACCAUUGCAUUUUAGAGAUGUGUAGUAAACAUUAAAAAAAUUUUUUUUUAGAAAGGGUGGCUCA